UUGCCACUGACAAGAAAACCCUGUUGCUCCAAGCAAAAGGCCUUGUUCAAGCUAUAAUUUCAGCAGUCGAGAACACUGUGAACAAAGAUGAACAGGCAGAUAUUAAGAAAUUACUAG